rnacentral:rRNA from 1 species
UACAGAGGUCUCAAGCGUUGUUCGGAUUCAUUGGGCGUAAAGGGUUCGUAGGCGGUGUGGCAAGUCGGGAGUGAAAUCUCUGGGCUCAACUCAGAGAUUGCUUCCGAAACUGCUGUGCUGGAGUGUGGGAGAGGCGCGUGGAAUUGCAGGUGUAGCGGUGAAAUGCGUAGAUAUCUGCAGGAACACCCGUGGCGAAAGCGGCGCGCUGGACCACUACUGACGCUGAGGAACGAAAGCCAGGGGAGCAAACGGG